UCGGGAAUUUUGGGCAAUGGGCGAAAGCCUGACCCAGCAACGCCGCGUGAGGGAUGAAGUAUUUCGGUAUGUAAGCCUCGAAAGAAUGGGAAGAAUAAAUGACGGUACCAUUUAUAAGCUCCGGCUAACUACGUGCCAGCAGCCGCGGUAAUACGUAGGGAGCAAGCGUUGUUCGGAUUUACUGGGUGUAAAGGGCGCGCAGGCGGGAUAAAAAGUCAGUGGUGAAAUCCUACAGCUUAACUGUAGAACUGCCUUUGAUACUUUUAUUCUUGAGUUCGGGAGAGAGAGACGGAAUUCCAGGUGUAGUGGUGAAAUACGUAGAUAUCUGGAAGAACACCAGUUGCGAAGGCGGUCUCUUGGUCCGACACUGACGCUGAGGCGCGAAAGCGUGGGGAGCAAAC
rnacentral:rRNA from 1 species